rnacentral:rRNA from 1 species
AUGAACGCUGGCGGCGUGCCUAAUACCUGCAAGUCGAGCGAACGGACGAGAAGCUUGCUUCUCUGAUGUUAGCGGCGGACGGGUGAGUAACACGUGGAUAACCUACCUAUAAGACUGGGAUAACUUCGGGAAACCGGAGCUAAUACCGGAUAAUAUUUUGAACCGCAUGGUUCAAAAGUGAAAGACGGUCUUGCUGUCACUUAUAGAUGGAUCCGCGCUGCAUUAGCUAGUUGGUAAGGUAACGGCUUACCAAGGCAACGAUGCAUAGCCGACCUGAGAGGGUGAUCGGCCACACUGGAACUGAGACACGGUCCAGACUCCUACGGGAGGCAGCAGUAGGGAAUCUUCCGCAAUGGGCGAAAGCCUGACGGAGCAACGCCGCGUGAGUGAUGAAGGUCUUCGGAUCGUAAUACUCUGUUAUUAGGGAAGAACAUAUGUGUAAGUAACUGUGCACAUCUUGACGGUACCUAAUCAGAAAGCCACGGCUAACUACGUG